rnacentral:rRNA from 1 species
GAUGAACGCUGGCGGCGUGCCUAAUACAUGCAAGUCGAGCGAACAGACGAGGAGCUUGCUCCUCUGACGUUAGCGGCGGACGGGUGAGUAACACGUGGAUAACCUACCUAUAAGACUGGGAUAACUUCGGGAAACCGGAGCUAAUACCGGAUAAUAUAUUGAACCGCAUGGUUCAAUAGUGAAAGACGGUUUUGCUGUCACUUAUAGAUGGAUCCGCGCCGCAUUAGCUAGUUGGUAAGGUAACGGCUUACCAAGGCAACGAUGCGUAGCCGACCUGAGAGGGGGGUCGGCCACACUGGAACGGAGACACGGUCCAGACUCCUACGGGAGGCAGCAGUAGGGAAUCUUCCGCAAUGGGCGAAAGCCUGACGGAGCAACGCCGCGUGAGUGAUGAAGGUCCUCGGAUCGUAAAACUCUGUUAUUAGGGAAGAACAAAUGUGUAAGUAACUAUGCACGUCUUGACGGUACCUAAUCAGAAAGCCACGGCUAACUACGUG